rnacentral:rRNA from 1 species
CAGCAGCCGCGGGAAUACGUAGGUGGCAAGCGUUAUCCGGAAUUAUUGGGCGUAAAGCGCGCGUAGGCGGUUUCUUAAGUCUGAUGUGAAAGCCCACGGCUCAACCGUGGAGGGUCAUUGGAAACUGGGAAACUUGAGUGCAGAAGAGGAAAGUGGAAUUCCAUGUGUAGCGGUGAAAUGCGCAGAGAUAUGGAGGAACACCAGUGGCGAAGGCGACUUUCUGGUCUGUAACUGACGCUGAUGUGCGAAAGCGUGGGGAUCAAACAGGAUUAGAUACCCGCGUAGUCCCUGUCUCUUAUAC